rnacentral:rRNA from 1 species
GGGGAAUAUUGGGCAAUGGACGCAAGUCUGACCCAGCGACGCCGCGUGAAGGACGAAGGCAUUCGUGUUGUAAACUUCUUUGGAGAGGGACGAAAAUGACGGUACCUCUCGAACAAGCCACGGCUAACUACGUGCCAGCAGCCGCGGUAAUACGUAGGUGGCAAGCGUUAUCCGGAAUUACUGGGUGUAAAGGGCGCGCAGGCGGCCCUGCAAGUCGGAUGUGAAAGAUCAAGGCUCAACCUUGACAGGUCAUUCGAAACUGUAGGACUUGAGUGUCAGAGGGGAAAGUGGAAUUCCUAGUGGAGCGGUAAAAUGCGCAGAUAUUAGGAGGAACACCGGUGGCGAAGGCGACUUUCUGGCUGACAACUGACGCUGAGGCGCGAAAGCGUGGGGAGCAAAC